rnacentral:rRNA from 1 species
AGCAGUAGCCGCGGUAAUACGAAGGGUGCAAGCGUUAAUCGGAAUUACUGGGCGUAAAGCGUGCGUAGGCGGUGAGUUAAGUCUGCUGUGAAAUCCCCGGGCUCAACCUGGGAAUGGCAGUGGAUACUGGCUCGCUAGAGUGUGUCAGAGGAUGGUGGAAUUCCCGGUGUAGCGGUGAAAUGCGUAGAGAUCGGGAGGAACAUCAGUGGCGAAGGCGACUAUCUGGGCCAACACUGACACUGAGGCACGAAAGCGUGGGGAGCAAACAGGAUUAGAUACCCCUGUAGUCCCUGUCUCUUAUAC